CGGCCCUCCGCCCGCGCUCCCUUUCGCGUCUUCGCGCGCCGCUCCCGGGGGAUGGCGGGUGGCGGCGGGAACGAAGGCCGGGCUGACUCCGCGAAGGGAAACUGCAGGCGGUGGCCUUUUCUACGAGCCCGAGUAGGGCCUGGACCCGUGCCUUCUGUGCCAGAGAUGAGGCGUGUUUGAGCAAACUUCUUAUUGACGAGAGGGUUGGCAAACGAGGAGGAGGCAUUGGGCACAUAUUACUAACUGGAGAUCGAGCCCACAACACAGGCAUGUGCCCUGACCCAGGAAUCUGAACUAUGACCUCCUGGUUACCACUGACCCACACCAGCUGGGCAAAAAGAUAAGUAUUUUUGACGGUCUCAAAUAUAUCUGAGAAGGUAAAAUUGUCUAAAAGACAGUUUCUCAAACUGAUUUAAUUUAUUAAGAAGAAUAGUUAACCAUUUGUUGAAUACUUCUGGAUUAUUAAGGUGCUUUGAAUGUGUUCCCAAUUCCCAAAGCAACCCCAUGAGGUGUGGCUGCUAUAGUUUCCCAUUUGGAGAUGAGAGAACUAAUUCAGUAACUUGCACAAGAAAGCAGCCACUAUGUAGCUGCUUGAC